rnacentral:rRNA from 1 species
AUGUGAAUAAUAUUUUUUAUUAUCCCGAAUCUUGAAGAGUUAAAAAUUUAUUGAUUUUGUUGUUGAAAAAUUAUUUAUAAUAAAUUUUUUGUAGUGAAAUGUUAGUCGUUUCUGGGUAUAUCUGGUUUUUAAAGAAACAAAUUUAAUUUGAUUUAAGACUUUGGGUUAGAUAUUUAUUUAUUUAUCUUAAGUUUUAAUUUUAUAGUCUAGGGGAUAAGCUUUAGGUUAACUUUUUAUAAAUUAAUAUUAGCUUGAACAAUUAAGUAGGAUUAGAAAUUUUAAUUUUUAUUAUUUUGUUAUAAUGAUUUUGUUUAUGUUUGUUAUUUUUAUAGUUUUAAGUUUUUUAUUUAAAUUUUUAUAUUAAUUUUAUUUAUGAGGAAAUAAUGGUUGAAUUAGUAUAAAGAUUUGUUGAUUUUGUUUUUAUUGUGAGGUUUGGUUAAGGAAUUCGGCAAAAUAAUUUUCUGCCUGUUUAUUAAAAACAUGGUUUUUUGUUUAUGAUUAAAGAUCGGACCUGCCCACUGAAAUUUUAAAUGGCUGCGGUAUUUUGACCGUGCAAAGGUAGCAUAAUAAUUUGUUCUUUAAUUGAGAGCUGGAAUGAAUGGUUUGACAAGAAAAUUACUGUCUCUAUUAAAGUUUUAGAAUUUUAAUUUUAAGUAAGAAUGCUUAAAUGUUAUUAAAAGACGAGAAGACCCUAUAGAGUUUAAUUUAUUAGUUUAAUUAAUUUGAAUUGUUAAGGUUGAAUAAAUUAAGUAAGUAAGUUUUAUUGGGGUGAUAAAAAAAUUUAUUUAACUUUUUUUGUUGGGUUUCAUUGAUUUAUGUUUGUUUGAUCCAUUAUUAUGAUUAAAAGAAAAAAUUACCUUAGGGAUAACAGCGUUAUUAAGAUUGAGAGUUCUUAUUGAAAUCUUAGAUUGCGACCUCGAUGUUGGAUUAAAAUUAAAGUUGGGUGUAGAAGCUUGAUUAUUAGGUCUGUUCGACCUU